rnacentral:rRNA from 1 species
AAGACAACUCUCAACAACGGAUAUCUUGGUUCCCGCAACGAUGAAGAACGCAGCGAAAUGCGAUACGUAGUGUGAAUUGCAGAUUAUGUGAACCAUCGAAUCUUUGAACGCAAAUUGCGCCCGAGGCUUCGGCCAAAGGCAUGUCUGCCUCAGCGUCGG